rnacentral:lncRNA from 1 species
AAGGUCAAGUAGAGUGCAUAAUGUACCACUCAAGUAUGGAUUUGUCAUUUUGAAUGACAACACAUCCCACAUCAUUAAGAAUGAUGAUCCUAUGACCUAUUCGAAAGCUGUCAUAAGUAAUGACUCUGACAAAUGGCUCAAUGCCAUGAAAUUCGACAUGGACUCCAUGUAUACCAACCAAGUUUAGAUUUUGGUUGAUGCACC